rnacentral:rRNA from 1 species
UACGGAGGGGGCUAGCGUUGUUCGGAAUUACUGGGCGUAAAGCGCACGUAGGCGGCUUUGCAAGUCAGAGGUGAAAGCCCGGGGCUCAACCCCGGAAUAGCCUUUGAGACUGCAUCGCUAGAAUUGUGGAGAGGUAAGUGGAAUUCCGAGUGUAGAGGUGAAAUUCGUAGAUAUUCGGAAGAACACCAGUGGCGAAGGCGGCUUACUGGUCCGGUUCUGACGCUGAGGUGCGAAAGCGUGGGGAGCAAACAGG